UUGUGAAUACAUAUUCAGUUAUUUAUGUUCCUUCUGAUUUCUCUAUCCAGCAGAUUCCAUAUACGGAAAUGAGGAUAUAUAGACUGUAAAUUGUACCCAUGUACCUUUGACAAAAGAAGGAGACCAUUAGGCUAAAAGGAGCAGAGUAGUCAGCAAGAAGGGAGAUGCAUUUUAUGCAGCAAAAUCUUUCAUCUGGAAAGAUAACUUUUUUUAAUCAUUUGGAACCACAAACACAGACUUGAUGUAGAAGACCUCCGCAACCUGUAGAUGUUUGCAGGUAAACAAUACAGGGGGAAAUUAACCAACGACCUUUCAAUUUAUGCAACUGGUUGGAGUGCACAAGCAUUGGUCCAAUGGAAAAGAGCAAAGCCUGGAUGUGAUGAUGUAAGCAGGUUCAAAAUAGGCCACUCCCAUCCCUUCAGAAAAUUGAUUAGAGAGACAGA